AGAGUUUGAUCCUGGCUCAGAUUGAACGCUGGCGGCAUGCCUUACACAUGCAAGUCGAACGGUAACAGGUCUUCGGAUGCUGACGAGUGGCGAACGGGUGAGUAAUACAUCGGAACGUGCCCGAUCGUGGGGGAUAACGGAGCGAAAGCUUUGCUAAUACCGCAUACGAUCUACGGAUGAAAGCAGGGGACCGCAAGGCCUUGCGCGGACGGAGCGGCCGAUGGCAGAUUAGGUAGUUGGUGGGAUAAAAGCUUACCAAGCCGACGAUCUGUAGCUGGUCUGAGAGGACGACCAGCCACACUGGGACUGAGACACGGCCCAGACUCCUACGGGAGGCAGCAGGUGGGGAAUUUUGGACAAUGGGCGAAAGCCUGAUCCAGCCAUGCCGCGUGCAGGAUGAAGGCCUUCGGGGUUGUAAACUGUCUUUUGUACGGAACGAAAGACUCCUUCUAAUAAAGGGGGUUCAUGACGGUACCGUAAGAAUAAGCACCGGCUAACUACGUG
rnacentral:rRNA from 1 species